rnacentral:tRNA from 1 species
UCCAGGGUAGCCUAGUGGACAUGGCAUCUGCCCGGUAAGCGGAACAUUGUUGGUUCAAUUCCCAUCCCUGGAC